rnacentral:piRNA from 1 species
UGACGGGAAAGGAGCUCAGAUGUCUG